AAGCUCGUAGUUGAAUUUCGGGAUCAAAUUGUCGGUCGUGCCUCGGUACGUACUGGCGUUAUUGGUUCCUCCCUUCUGAAGAACCGCGAUGUCAUUAAUUUGGUGUCGCGGGGAAUCAGGACUGUUACUUUGAAAAAAUUAGAGUGUUUAAAGCAGGCUCGCGCUUGAAUACAUUAGCAUGGAAUAGUGAAAUAGGACGUUUGAUUCUAUUUUGUUGGUUUCUAGGAUCGACGUAAUGAUUAAUAGGGAUAGUUGGGGGCAUUAGUAUUCAAUUGUCAGAGGUGAAAUUCUUGGAUUUAUUGAAGACUAACUACUGCGAAAGCAUUUGCCAAGGAUGUUUUCGUUAAUCAAGAACGAAAGUUAGGGGAUCGAAGACGAUCAGAUACCGUCGUAGUCUUAACCAUAAACUAUGCCGACUAGGGAUCGGAUGAUGUUAAUUUUUUAAUGACUCAUUCGGCGCCUUACGGGAAACCAAAGUGUUUGGGUUCCGGGGGGAGUAUGGUCGCAAGGCUGAAACUUAAAGGAAUUGACGGAAGGGCACCACCAGGGGUGGAGCCUGCGGCUUAAUUUGACUCAACACGGGGAAACUCACCAGGUCCAGACAUAGUAAGGAUUGACAGAUUGAGAGCUCUUUCUUGAUUCUAUGGGUG
rnacentral:rRNA from 1 species